AUACGGAGGGUGCAAGCGUUAAUCGGAAUUACUGGGCGUAAAGCGUGCGUAGGUGGUUUAUUAAGUCAGAUGUGAAAGCCCCGGGCUUAACCUGGGAACUGCAUUUGAAACUGGUAAACUAGAGUAUGGUAGAGGAAAGUGGAAUUUCUGGUGUAGCGGUGAAAUGCGUAGAUAUCAGAAGGAACAUCAAUGGCGAAGGCAGCUUUCUGGACCAAUACUGACACUGAGGUACGAAAGCGUGGGUAGCAAACAGGAUUAGAUACCCUGGUAGUCCACGCCGUAAACGAUGAUAACUAGCCGUUGGGGGGAUUUACCCUUUAGUGGCGAAGCUAACGCGUUAAGUUAUCCGCCUGGGGAGUACGGCCGCAAGGUUAAAACUCAAAGGAAUUGACGGGGACCCGCACAAGCGGUGGAGCAUGUGGUUUAAUUCGAUGCAACGCGAAGAACCUUACCUGGUCUUGACAUCCUGCGAACUUUCUAGAAAUAGAUUGGUGCCUUUCGGGAACGCAGUGACAGGUGCUGCAUGGC
rnacentral:rRNA from 1 species